GUAAACACAGGAGAUGGUGUUGAUGAGUAAACACAGGAGAUGGUGUUGAUGGUGAGUAAGCACAGGAGAUGGUGUUGAUGGUGAGUAAACACAGGAGGAAUUGAGUAGCACAUGCUGUAUCACAUGAGCCUGCUCUUGGUGUGGGGGAUUUUAUAACACUGAUGGGUUUAAAUCAACUGAAAAAAGAUGAUGAUUAGAAAAACAAACAUUGUUAUGCCCAUUAGCGCACAAGUUACAUGCAGCGUGUAAGAAUUACUUCCGCUCGUGUGAGUGGUUUGUCAUAUCAUGGUUAUCUUUUACAAUCCUUCAAUGGUUUUACAAAUAGUAAUCAUAGCUUCAAUCUCAGCUAUCUCGGUGAAUCAGGAUAAGAUUGUUAAGCCCGUACAAGCCAAGGUUCCAGCCACCACAACGAUUGCUUUUUAAUUACGCGUGUAAUGAUAUCCAGCCUUCUGCACCUUUGGAAAGUCCGUACUCCCAUGAGAGUCUGAUAUUAAAAAGUGGAGAGAGGGGAGAAAAAAAAUGUACUAAAACUGAUUUCAUCAAAAAUCUUCUGGAACAAAAUC
ensembl:lncRNA